CCUACGGGUGGCAGCAGUGAGGAAUAUUGGUCAAUGGGCGGAAGCCUGAACCAGCCAAGUCGCGUGCAGGAUGACGGCCCUACGGGUUUUAAACUGCUUUUAUACGGGAAUAACGCGCCUUACGUGUAGGGCUUUGCAUGUACCGUAUGAAUAAGGACCGGCUAAUUCCGUGCCAGCAGCCGCGGUAAUACGGAAGGUCCGGGCGUUAUCCGGAUUUAUUGGGGUUAAAGGGAACGUAGGCCGCAUGUCAAGCGUGCUGUGAAAUGUCCGGGCUCAACCCGGGCCUUGCAGCGCGAACUGGUGUGCUUGAGUGCGCGGAAAGCAGGAGGAAUUCGUCGUGUAGCGGUGAAAGGCUUAGAUAUGACGAAGAACCCCGAUUGCGAAGGCAGCUUGCUGCAGCGGAACUGACGCUGAUGCUCGAAAGCGCGGGGAUCGAACAGGAUUAGAUACCCUGGUAGUC
rnacentral:rRNA from 1 species